GAACGGAAUGUUGGGACCUGAUUACUCAACUAAAUUCUCUCCAUGGCUUGCCUUUGGGUGUAUCUCUCCUCGGUUUAUCUAUGAAGAGGUUCAAAGAUAUGAAAGAGAAAGAGUAGCAAACAACUCAACAUACUGGGUGUUGUUUGAAUUACUAUGG